rnacentral:rRNA from 1 species
UUGAAAGGGAAACGAUUGAAGUCAGUCAUGCCGACGGGAAUCAACUUAGGGGAAACUCUGGGUGCACUUCUUCGUUUGGCAGGUUAGUGUCGAUUUUGGAUGUCAUAAAAUAAUUGGGAGAAGGUAGCUCUUUCGGGAGUGUUAUAGCCCCUGGUAGAUGUGAUAUCUGGGAUCGAGGAUUGCAACGGAUACCUUCGGGGCUAACCGCCUGAUCUCUAAUUGGUGUUGGGUUACGGACAGCAUGCUGACCGUGAUCAAUUACUGGUUAAAAGGUUAGAGCGUGUAUAAAUCGUUAAGGAUGUUGACGUA